CCUUGUACACACCGCCCGUCACACCAUGGGAGUUGGUUUUACCCGAAGACGGUGCGCUAACCUCGCAAGAGGGGGCAGCCGGCCACGGUAGGGUCAGCGACUGGGGUG
rnacentral:rRNA from 1 species